rnacentral:rRNA from 1 species
UACGAAGGGGGCUAGCGUUGCUCGGAAUCACUGGGCGUAAAGGGUGCGUAGGCGGGUUCUUAAGUCAGAGGUGAAAUCCUGGAGCUCAACUCCAGAACUGCCUUUGAUACUGAGAGUCUUGAGUAUGACAGAGGUGAGUGGAACUGCGAGUGUAGAGGUGAAAUUCGUAGAUAUUCGCAAGAACACCAGUGGCGAAGGCGGCUCACUGGGUCGAUUACUGACGCUGAGGCACGAAAGCGUGGGGAGCAAACAGG